GAUAAAAACUAUUUAAUUAAAGUUAACAAUGAAUGAAAUCAUUACUUAUAAAAGGAUAAAAGUUCUAUUUAUUGUAUGCAAAGAAGAAGAAAAAAAAUGGCUCACAUACUAAUGUUUUGUUAUGCAUUGGUCAUCUUCCUUUUUCUAUUUCUUGUUGAAACAAAGAAAGAAGAAUAUUUCGAUUUCUGCAACUCAUUCAUUGAUUGUCCAAAUGAUGAAGAUCAUUUUGCAACGUGCAUUAAUAAUGUUUGUGAGCUUUGGCCGUAUGAAUAAUUAGGUUAUAAAAUAACUAUGCUUUCUCUUAACAUCUGAUUUUAUUUUUACUGUAAUGAUAUUUGUACACUUAUAAGCUGUUGGCCGUAUGUAUGUAUAAUUAGUUUUAAAAAUGAUUAUGAUUUCUCUAAGCAUAUAAU